CGUUGCAGGCACGGCGCAGCAAGAACCCACCCAGGGGUGUGAUUCAAAUGCGCUGCUUGUUCUGGUGAAACUACCUUAGAAGACCAGCACUAAGUGGAGCACUGAAAGAAAUGUCUGGUAAAAGAGAGAGAGCCGAGAGCGAGGGGAUUGUGUGGAUGCACAAAGCGUUUCUUUUAGAGAGGAGAAAACGCCGUGGCUGGUAGGCUGUGAUGCAACUCAGCUUGCUGCAGUAUUAGUUUCCACUCCUUUUGUUUUCCACUGUCAGCAAGUGUUACCCUGUACACGACACCACAUUUCCCUGUCUCUGACUAAGGAUUUCUGUG